UACGUAGGGAGCGAGCGUUAUCCGGAUUUAUUGGGUUUAAAGGGUGCGUAGGCGGGCUUUUAAGUCAGCGGUAAAAAUUCGGGGCUCAACCCCGUCCGGCCGUUGAAACUGGGGGCCUUGAGUGGGCGAGAAGAAGGCGGAAUGCGUGGUGUAGCGGUGAAAUGCAUAGAUAUCACGCAGAACCCCGAUUGCGAAGGCAGCCUUCCGGCGCCCUACUGACGCUGAGGCACGAAAGUGCGGGGAUCGAACAGG
rnacentral:rRNA from 1 species